GGGGAAUAUUGGACAAUGGGCGAAAGCCUGAUCCAGCCAUGCCGCGUGUGUGAAGAAGGUCUUCGGAUUGUAAAGCACUUUAAGUUGGGAGGAAGGGCUGCAAGUUAAUACCUUGUAGUUUUGACGUUACCAACAGAAUAAGCACCGGCUAACUUCGUGCCAGCAGCCGCGGUAAUACGAAGGGUGCAAGCGUUAAUCGGAAUUACUGGGCGUAAAGCGCGCGUAGGUGGUUUGGUAAGAUGGAUGUGAAAUCCCCGGGCUCAACCUGGGAACUGCAUCCAUAACUGCCUGACUAGAGUACGGUAGAGGGUGGUGGAAUUUCCUGUGUAGCGGUGAAAUGCGUAGAUAUCAGGAGGAACACCGAUGGCGAAGGCAGGUCACUGGGCCGCAACUGACGCUGAGGAGCGAAAGCAUGGGGAGCGAACA
rnacentral:rRNA from 1 species